GACGAACGCUGGCGGCGUGCUUAACACAUGCAAGUCGAACGGAGUGGCGAACGGGUGAGUAACACGUGGGUGAUCUGCCUUGCACUUCGGGAUAAGCUUGGGAAACUGGGUCUAAUACCGGAUAGUGCAAGAUGAGCUCGCGGCCUAUCGGCUGGUUGGUGGGGUAAUGGCAUACCAAGGCGUCGCAGGGUAGCCGGCCUGAGAGGGUGUACGGCCACAUAGGGACUGAGGUAGGGACCAGAGUCGUACGGGGGGCAGCAGUGGGGAAUAUUGCGCAAUGAGCGGACGCCUGAUACGGCGACGCCGGGUGGGUGAUGAAGGCCUACGGGUUGUAAACUCCUUGCGACAGGGACGCGGUACCUGUAUAAGAAGCACCGGCUAACUACGUGCCAGCAGCCGCGGUAAUUC
rnacentral:rRNA from 1 species